rnacentral:rRNA from 1 species
AGAGUUUGAUCAUGGCUCAGAAUCAACGCUGGCGGCGUGCCUCAGACAUGCAAGUCGAACGCGAAAGUUCCCUUCGGGGAGCAAGUAGAGUGGCGCACGGGUGAGUAACACGUAGGUAAUCUACCUUCGGAUGGGGAAUAACAACCGGAAACGGUUGCUAAUACCGCAUAAUGCAGCGGCACCUAAUGGUGACAGUUGUUAAAGCGGGGGAUCGUAAGACCUCGCGUCUGGAGAGGAGCCUGCGGCGGAUUAGCUAGUUGGUAAGGUAACGGCUUACCAAGGCUAUGAUCCGUAGCCGGCCUGAGAGGGCGGUCGGCCACACUGACACUGACAUACGGGUCAGACUCCUACGGGAGGCAGCAGUCGGGAAUUUUGGGCAAUGGGCGAAAGCCUGACCCAGCAACGCCGCGUGAAGGAUGAAAUCCUUCGGGAUGUAAACUUCGCAAGAACGGGAAGAAUAAGCCGGUAUUAACACCACCGGUGAUGACGGUACUGUUUGUAAGCUCCGGCUAACUCCGUGCCAGCCGCCGCGGUAAUUC